CCUACGGGCGGCUGCAGUGGGGAAUAUUGGACAAUGGGGGGAACCCUGAUCCAGCCAUGCCGCGUGUGUGAAGAAGGCCCUCGGGUUGUAAAGCACUUUCAGUGAGGAAGAACGCCUGGUGGUUAAUACCCAUCAGGAAAGACAUCACUCACAGAAGAAGCACCGGCUAAUUCCGUGCCAGCAGCCGCGGUAAUACGGAGGGUGCGAGCGUUAAUCGGAAUUACUGGGCGUAAAGCGCGCGUAGGUGGCUUGAUAAGCCGGUUGUGAAAGCCCCGGGCUCAACCUGGGAACGGCAUCCGGAACUGUCAAGCUAGAGUGCAGGAGAGGAAGGUAGAAUUCCCGGUGUAGCGGUGAAAUGCGUAGAGAUCGGGAGGAAUACCAGUGGCGAAGGCGGCCUUCUGGACUGACACUGACACUGAGGUGCGAAAGCGUGGGUAGCAAACAGGAUUAGAUACCCCAGUAGUC
rnacentral:rRNA from 1 species